rnacentral:lncRNA from 1 species
CCAAGUGAACUCCUUUAAAAGAUGUGUUUUCAUAACCACCAAAAUGUGUCAAGUAACAAAUAAAACUUAGUUGGAAAAAAAUGUCAUUCUAAACUAAAUAACUAUAAUAAAUCCAAUAUCUAAAGGGAAGCGAGGUGGGCAACUACGUCUUACCACCUUUUUUAGUUGAUUCAUACAAACCCAAACAAAAUAAAAGCAUAGCAUAAAUAUAAAGGAAAUACUCAUGGGUAAAAUGUUAGCCAAAAGACAACAACGCAUAUAUGAUAUAAAGAAUGCGAAAACUUUGAAGCAAGAAGGAAACGUUGGACACUAUUGACAUGAUGAAGGCUGCUAGACACAAGCGAUAACGUAGGCGAGCAUAAAUCUGAUUUGGACAGAUGAAUGGAGUUGUAUCACAACUCCAAAUGCGCUCCCGAGUGUAUAUGUGAAAUAAACAAAAGAAGAGAAUUAGUAAAUGAGAUUCGAAACUUGUGAGAAAGCACAUCAAAAUAGAUUCUACCUAGCCAUCUGUUAACCCAAAUUCAGGCUUACUUAUUCCGGCAAUCAGACUCUUGGAAAACAUGUUUUUUACAGAUUCAUAUCCCUCCAAAUUUUAUGUACAAUAGUUAGGAGCUUCAAUGUUCAGGAAUAUAUAUUUUUAUGUCAUCAAACAGGUUUAAGCAUGUCUACAACUGCCUACGGAAGCAUGAGACUAUAUAUUUAUUCUUUGAGUCCAACAAAAGAAGCCAAACAAUAUUAUCACAUGUAGCUUAUAAGGAACAAAAGAGGAUACUGUAGAUUGUCUUGGUAAUAACAAUAUUAUAUGUAUAAGAGUAUGAAGUGUAUAUGCAUUUAUUUAUUUUUUAGAAUAAAGGUCUACACAUUUACAGGCAGGGUGAACAAUUUUAUGAUAAAAAGAGAUGAAGGCUUUGAAAGAACUCUAAACAGUAACAAAACUAGGAUGGAAUGCAUAUGCACUGAACAUAUCUAUGCUGAAGUUCGCAUUGGUGUUGGGCUUGCAUUUCCAAACCAGAAACAAACAUAGAGAACUCGUAGUUAAUAACGGCCCAUUUCUUAAACCGGUUAAAAAAAACUUAGCAUUUCUGGAACUCUUGACAACAUGUCAUUGAAAGGCACAUAAACGCUUAAGUAAAUGUUUAAAUUCGUCAUUAUAGGAGAGGAAAAUCCAUGACUAUACUACUUAAUCAAAUAUAAUAAACUAACAUCAUUGAACUAAUAUGGUGGUAGCGGACUGCAUUAC